rnacentral:rRNA from 1 species
AAUGAACGUUGGCGGCGUGGAUUAGGCAUGCAAGUCGAACGAGAAGACUUAAAAAGAUACUUCGGUUGAUUUUUAAGUUGGACAGUGGCGAAAGGGAGAGUAACGAGUAGAUUACGUACCCAAGGGUCCGGGAUAGCUGCGGGAAACUGCAGGUAAUACCGGAUAAUGUUUCCGAACCAAAAAUUUAUUGCCCUUGGAUCGGUCUGCUUACUAUUAGCUUGUUGGUGGGGUAAUGGCCUACCAAGGCGAAGAUGGUUAGCGGGUGUGAGAGCAUGGCCCGUCUCACUGGGACUGAGAUACUGCCCAGACACCUACGGGUGGCUGCAGUCGAGAAUCUUCCGCAAUGGACGAAAGUCUGACGGAGCGACGCCGCGUGCUGGAUGAAGGCCCUCGGGUUGUAAACAGCUGUCGUAGGGGAGGAAAUUUUGACCGAUCCUAGGAGGAAGCGCAGGCUAAGUUCG